rnacentral:rRNA from 1 species
UACGAAGGGGGCGAGCGUUGUUCGGAUUUACUGGGCGUAAAGGGCGCGCAGGCGGUUCUGUUUGUCGAGUGUGAAAGCCCCGGGCUCAACCUGGGAACUGCGCUCGAAACGGCGGAACUAGAGUUCGGGAGAGGAGAGUGGAAUUCCCAGUGUAGAGGUGAAAUUCGUAGAUAUUGGGAAGAACACCGGUGGCGAAGGCGGCUCUCUGGACCGAGUACUGACGCUGAGGCGCGAAAGCGUGGGGAGCAAACAGG